GCAGUGUCCCCGUUCUCCAGAGGACUUGCUUUCUGCUCUCUUCCAAAUACUGGAAACUCCUUGGUGGCUGGUUGCAGGGCAAGGCCAUCGCUGGAUGCCAGAGCCUUCUCUGCCUCUGCUAACACAGCAGAGACCCAGUUUCAGCUGACAAUCUCAUAUUGCGGGACAGGAAACAAAAGAGCAAUUCAGUCCUUGUGAAAACAUGCCAGAUUUCCAUGCAACGAUUUUCCUUCUUGAAAUCACUUUUUGUGUUUCCAUCACAGAAAUGAAUUCAAAGGAAAAUGAGUAAUUGCUGGUCUACUCGGAAUCACUGGGCCUCCGCAAGAGACCUGGCUGGGAAGGCUGUUUGCUCAGAUGACUACAUCACCUGGCUUUUGCUGCACAUGACCAACUGGAGGCUGUGCUGGGAGCCCAAGCAGGGAGCCUUGAGUGUUGUCUCCAGCAGCAGCUUCUUUCCAUCCUGUGUCUACCUCCUGGGGUCUUUAUGGGCUCAGGGCCCAUCAGAUUCAAACACCAUUUUUUGAGGACACAAAAAAUCUUACACUGAUGGCCUCAUACUUCGUGGGGAGACAGAAGCCAUUGGACAGACAUCCCAUCACUAUGUGAUCACCAAAUCCACAAGCCAUCUGUGUCCACUGUUCCCUCUUCCUUCCAGGUAACAACAGAGUCUUGUUCCUUCUGUCAUUGCUCAGUUCUCUUUUGCUCUCCUGUCCCUCCCACUUCUGCAUGUCCCCUUUCCCACACCAUCAGCUUUGUACUAGCACGUAAACAAGCUACCAGAGGGACCAACAUGCACUCAUUGGUUGGACCAAGAGCUACAUAUAUGAAUGGAAGAGGAUGGGUGUCUAAGAGGUACAGAGACAGAGCUAUUUUGAAUCCAACUAUACCAGGUGGGUUGGGUUGCCUGUCUCCACCCUGAGGGAUUCAAUUCGUUUAUUAAAGUCAUAGGCAAAAGGGGAGUGGUAACUGUUGGAACAGGAUUGCAUUCUUUAUUGCUAACUUG
rnacentral:lncRNA from 1 species